AUCAUCAUCGUGCUUGGCUGG
rnacentral:misc_RNA from 1 species